rnacentral:rRNA from 1 species
GACGAACGCUGGCGGCGUGCCUAAUACAUGCAAGUAGAACGCUGAAGGAGGAGCUUGCUUCUCUGGAUGAGUUGCGAACGGGUGAGUAACGCGUAGGUAACCUGCCUGGUAGCGGGGGAUAACUAUUGGAAACGAUAGCUAAUACCGCAUAAGAGUAGAUGUUGCAUGACAUUUACUUAAAAGGUGCAAUUGCAUCACUACCAGAUGGACCUGCGUUGUAUUAGCUAGGUGGUGAGGUAACGGCUCACCAAGGCAACGAUACAUAGCCGACCGGAGAGGGGGGGCGGCCGCCCUGGGACCGUGACCCGGCCCAGGCUCCCUCGGGAGGCAGCAGUAGGGAAUCUUCGGCAAUGGACGGAAGUCUGACCGAGCAACGCCGCGUGAGUGAAGAAGGUUUUCGGAUCGUAAAGCUCUGUUGUAAGAGAAGAACGAGUGUGAGAGUGGAAAGUUCACACUGUGACGGUAGCUUACCAGAAAGGGACGGCUAACUACGUG